rnacentral:rRNA from 1 species
CAGGCCUAACACAUGCAAGUCGAACGCCCGGGGCGACCCGGGAGUGGCAGACGGGUGAGUAACGCGUGGGAACGUGCCCUCUGGUUCGGAACAACCCCUGGAAACGGGGGCUAAGACCGGAUACGCCGGCGCCCUGAGAGGGGUGUCGGGAAAGGCCUUGGUUGCCGGAGGAGCGGCCCGCGUCCGAUUAGCUUGAUGGCGGGGUAACGGCCCACCAUGGCAUCGAUCGGUAGCUGGUCUGAGAGGAUGGCCAGCCACAUUGGGACUGGGACACGGCCCAAACUCCUACGGGAGGCAGCAGUGGGGAAUAUUGGACAAUGGGCGCAAGCCUGAUCCAGCCAUGCCGCGUGAGUGAUGACGGCCUUAGGGUUGUAAAGCUCUCUCGCCCGCGACGAUAAUGACGGUAGCGGGAGAAGAAGCCCCGGCUAACUUCGUGCCAGCAGCCGCGGUAAU